UACGUAGGUGGCGAGCGUUAUCCGGAAUUAUUGGGCGUAAAGAGCGCGCAGGUGGUUGAUUAAGUCUGAUGUGAAAGCCCACGGCUUAACCGUGGAGGGUCAUUGGAAACUGGUCGACUUGAGUGCAGAAGAGGGAAGUGGAAUUCCAUGUGUAGCGGUGAAAUGCGUAGAUAUUAGGAGGAACACCAGUUGCGAAGGCGGCUCUCUGGACUGUAACUGACGCUGAGGCACGAAAGCGUGGGGAGCAAACAGGAUUAGAUA
rnacentral:rRNA from 1 species